AUUGAACGCUGGCGGCAGGCUUAACACAUGCAAGUCGAGCGGGGGAAGGUAGCUUGCUACCGGACCUAGCGGCGGACGGGUGAGUAAUGCUUAGGAAUCUGCCUAUUAGUGGGGGACAACAUCUCGAAAGGGAUGCUAAUACCGCAUACGUCCUACGGGAGAAAGCAGGGGAUAUUCGGAUCUUGCGCUAAUAGAUGAGCCUCGGUCGGAUUAGCUAGUUGGGGGGGUAAAGGCCGACCAAGGCGACGAGCUGUAGCGGGUGUGAGAGGAUGAUCCGCCACACUGGGACUGAGACACGGCCCAGACUCCUACGGGAGGCAGCAGUGGGGAAUAUUGGACAAUGGGGGGAACCCUGAUCCAGCCAUGCCGCGUGUGUGAAGAAGGCCUUAUGGUUGUAAAGCACUUUAAGCGAGGAGGAGGCUACUUUAGUUAAUACCUAGAGAUAGUGGACGUUACUCGCAGAAUAAGCACCGGCUAACUCUGUGCCAGCCGCCGCAGUAA
rnacentral:rRNA from 1 species